rnacentral:rRNA from 1 species
AUUGAACGCUGGAGGCAGGCCUAACACAUGCAAUUCGAACGAGUGGCGGACGGGUGAGUAAUGUCUGGGAAACUGCCUGCUGGAGGGGGAUAACUACUGGAAACGGUAGCUAAUACAGCAUACCAUCGGAUGUGCCCAGAUGGGCUUAGCUAGUAGGUGGGGUAAAGGCUCACCUAGGCGACGAGCCCUAGCUGGUCUGAGAGGAUGACCAGCCAAACUGGAACUGAGACACGGGCCAGACUCGUACGGGCGGCAGCAGUGGGGAAUAUUGCACAAUGGGCGCAAGCCUGAUGCAGCCAUGCCGCGUGUAUGAAGAAGGCCUUCGGGUUGUAAAGUACUUUCAGCGGGGAGGCGUUACCCGCAGAAGAAGCACCGGCUAACUCCGUGCCAGCAGCCGCGGUAAUAC